UCAAGCUACAAAGAGCACAAGGGGAAUGCCUUGGCACCGAGAGCCGAAGAAGGACGUGACUAACUGCGAUAAGCUGCGGGGAGCCGUAAGUAGGCUUUGAUCCGCAGAUUUCCGAAUGGAGCAAUCCGGCAAGAGGAAAGUCUUGUCAUCAUAUACUGAAUACAUAGGUAUAUGAGGGGAACCGCCUGAACUGAAACAUCUAAGUAGGGCGAGGAAGAGAAAUCAACUGAGAUUCCGUAAGUAGUGGCGAGCGAACGCGGAAGAGGCCAAACCGAGAGUAGUAAUACUUUCGGGGUUCGGACAGAAUACGGCAUUGUAAAGGUUUAGUGGAAUGGAAUGGGAAGUCCAACCGAAGAAGGUGAGAGUCCUGUACACGAAAAGCCUGAACAGCCAUCUGUAUCCAGAGUACCGCCGGACACGUGAAACCCGGUGGGAAUAUGGGGGGACCAUCCUCCAAGCCUAAAUACUACUCGGUGACCGAUAGUGAAGAAGUACUGUGAAGGAAAGGUGAAAAGUACCCCUGACGGGGAGUGAAAAAGAACCUGAAACCUUGUGUUUACAAGCACCGAAAGCUCAUCAAAGAGCGAUCGGGUACCUUUUGUAGAAUGGUCCGGCGAGUGAAUGUAACCGGCGAGGUUAAGCACUUAAGGUGUGAAGCCGCAGCGAGAGCAAGUCUGAAUAGGGCGUAUGAAGUCGGUUGUAUUCGACCCGAAACCGGGUGACCUACCCAUGGUCAGGUUGAAGUAAAGGUAAAACUUUAUGGAGGACCGAACCGACUCCCGUUGAAAUGGUAGCGGAUGAACUGUGGGUAGCGGAGAAAUUCCAAUCGAACCCGGAGAUAGCUGGUUCUCCCCGAAAUAGUUUUAGGACUAGCCUCAAGUUAGAUACCUGGAGGUAAAGCACUGAAUAGCCUAGCGGCCGAGAGGUUAGCGAAGCUUAUCAAACUCAGAAUGCCAGAGUAUUGAUGCUUGGGAGUCAGACAGUGUCAGAUAAAUGUCAUUGUCAAAAGGGAAACAGCCCAGAUCUACAGCUAAGGUCCCAAAGUCAGGUUAAGUGGAAAACGAUGUGAAGAUACGUAGACAACCAGGAUGUUGGCUCAGAAGCAGCCAUACAUUCAAAGAGUGCGUAAUAGCUCACUGGUCGAGCGUCUUUGCGCGGAGAAUUUAACGGGGCUAAACCUGACACCGAAGCUUAGGCAAUACAGCAAUGUAUUGGGUAGGGGAGCGUUGUAUACGCGGUGAAACAGUAGCGCAAGCGGCUGUGGAGUGUAUAGAAGUGAGAAUGCCGGAAUGAGUAGCGCGAAUGCAGUGAGAAUCUGCAUGGCCGAAAGCCUCAGGUUUUUGGAGGAAGGUUCGUCCGCUCCAAGUUAGUCGGGAGCUAAGGUGAGGCCGAAAGGCGUAGCCGAUGCACAGACGGUAGAGAUUCCGUCACCACCAAAAGAGUUAAGCACAGGGACACAUUUGAAGUCUCGGAGCCGGGUGUUGGUUCCGGUAGCGAUCGAGGGAAGUUAGUACCGAAGUCCGGGAUGGAAGAUGGCGAGAAAAGCUGUGUGUAUUUCUGCGGUGCCCGUACCGCAAACCGACACAGGUAGGUAGGAAGAAGAUUCUAAGGCCAACGGGAGAAGGGUUGUUAAGGAACUCGGCAAAUUGACCCCGUAACUUCGGGAGAAGGGGUGCUCCAGAGAUGGAGCCGCAGAGAAUCGGCCCAAGCAACUGUUUACCAAAAACACAGGUUUGUGCUAAAUCGAAAGAUGACGUAUACGAGCUGACGCCUGCCCGGUGCUGGAAGGUUAAAAGGAGAUGUGCAAGCAUUGAAUUGAAGCCCCAGUGAACGGCGGCCGUAACUAUAACGGUCCUAAGGUAGCGAAAUUCCUUGUCAGGUAAG
rnacentral:rRNA from 1 species